CGUGUAGGCGGCUGGAUAAGUCAGAUGUGAAAGUCCUGGGCUUAACCCAGGAAGUGCAUUUGAAACUGUUCAGCUUGAGUAAGGGAGAGGAAAGUGGAAUUCCUGGUGUAGAGGUGAAAUUCGUAGAUAUCAGGAGGAACACCGGUGGCGAAGGCGACUUUCUGGCCCUAUACUGACGCUGAGACGCGAGAGCGUGGGUAGCAAACAG
rnacentral:rRNA from 1 species